GAUGAAGAACGCAGCGAAAUGCGAUACUUGGUGUGAAUUGCAGAAUCCCGUGAACCAUCGAGUUUUUGAACGCAAGUUGCGCCCGAAGCCUUUUGGCCGAGGGCACGUCUGCCUGGGCGUCACGCAUCGCGUCGCCCCCCACAAUUCUCCGUAAAAGGAACAUGUGUUUUGGGGGCGGAUAUUGGUCUCCCGUGCUCAUGGCGUGGUUGGCCGAAAUAGGAGUCCUUUCGAUGGACGCACGAACUAGUGGUGGUCGUAAAAACCCUCGUCUUUUGUUUCGUGCUGUUGCUCGCAAGGUAAACUCUUUAAAAACCCCAAUGUGUCGUCUCUUGACGACGCUUCGACCGCGACCCCAGGUCAGGCGGGACUACCCGCUGAGUUUAAGCAUAUCAAUAAGCGGAGGA
rnacentral:misc_RNA from 1 species